rnacentral:lncRNA from 1 species
AGGAUCAAACCAGAGAUUGUAUCUCUCUUCUCUGCCGAUGCUGGUGCUUCCAUUGCCAUAAAUAUUAGUCUGAAUCCUCCAAUCUUUGCCUCUAAUAUUACCCAAGAACUCAAAGUCUAUUUCAUCAUGAUUCUUCUCAAACAUGUCACCAUUUGACAUCUGCAAACCAAAAGUGAAAAUUCCCAGCUCUUCAUCGAUAGACAAGCACAUGAACUUGCAAAUUUAAAAAUAGAAGAAAAAAUCCAUCUGGGUGUCGUUUUAAUAUUUUCUUUUUUCAGCUUUUAAUUACCCAAUAUGAUCAAAAAUGAAAAACAAAAAUUCUGAAACGGACCAUUCAAAUAUCAAUGGUCCAAUCAGAUUUUUAAGCCUGGUUCAUAUGGGUCAGACUAAUAGAAUCGGAUUAAACUUCUAAGCUAACCUUACAACGAGGGAAAAAAAAAAAAAACCUUUUUUUCAGGAAAAAAAUAACUGUUGGAAAGAUGACUUACAUAGAAGGCAACAACAACCCCGGCAGUAUAAUCAGCAGGCAACUUUAUUGAAGCACUGAAGAAACCAUGAAGAUAGAGGUCAUGUGACACAAAUCCAGACCCUGUAUACACACAAUAAAAGUCAUACUCAGAAACCCUAACAGGAACAGAAAUUAAGUACACAAAAACGGGAAAAAAAAAAGAAUAAGAAGAAGAAACACAGACCUGUUCUUUCAUCUAGAGAUAAAUGAACAGAUUUUCCAUCUGUAUGAACAACAAGAUUAUCAUGCCCAAACAAAUGACUAUACCCUUCAUCAAAAGGCACAAUAGGCAGGUUUCUGUAAAACCCAGAAGCAACUACAGCAAGAAGAGAAAAUACUAGAAGAAAACAACCCUCAUAAGACAUCACCAUCUUUUCUUCUCUCUCUGUUUUUGCUCUGUCUCUGUGUGUGUAUGUUUAUAUAUAUGUGUGCGUGUAUUUCUGUUCUUGAGUGAAAUUAAAUAUUAUCUCUCCGUGUUUGUCAAGAAGAGGAAGACCGAGAGACUAGAGUUCUGUGAGAUAGCGAGAGAGAGAGAGAGAGAGAGUUACAAAAGGCUCAUGAGAAAGGAAGACAAGCGGAGCUCAUUUUAUUGGUGAG